GACGAACGCUGGCGGCGUGCUUAACACAUGCAAGUCGAACGGUAAGGCCCUUCGGGGUACACGAGUGGCGAACGGGUGAGUAACACGUGGGUGAUCUGCCCUGCACUUCGGGAUAAGCCUGGGAAACUGGGUCUAAUACCGGAUAGGACCACUGCCUGCAUGGGUGGUGGUGGAAAGCUUUUGCGGUGUGGGAUGGGCCCGCGGCCUGUCAGCUUGUUGGUGGGGUGAUGGCCUACAAAGGCGACGACGGGUAGCCGGCCUGAGAGGGUGACCGGCAACACUGGGAAUGAGACACGGCCCAGACUCCUACGGGAGGCAGCAGUGGGGAAUAUUGCACAAUGGGCGCAAGCCUGAUGCAGCAACGCCGCAUGAGGGAUGACGGCCUUCGGGCUGUAAACCUCUUUUAGUAGGGAAGAAGCGAAAGUGACGGUACCUGCAGAAAAAGCACCGGCUAACUACGUGCCAGCCGCCGCAGUAA
rnacentral:rRNA from 1 species